rfam:Myotis brandtii contig290453, whole genome shotgun sequence.
GGCAGUUCUCAGGUGACGCACCCCUGAAUUGGGCUCCCUCCUAUCUGGUUUCAGGUGCGUCACCCGAGAACCACA